CUCCCCCUAUGCGUGGGCCCCACGCGCCAGUGGCCCAGUGCCCUGCUGACGUGGAUAAGUGGACACGGCUUUUGCCCGUGUACGCUUUCGUCCGGAUGGAAAGCGUAUUUCCCUCUGCUUCAGCUCACAGUACGUUUUCUUCUACUGAAAGCGUAUUCUGUUUGUACAUCGGCUGAAAAUACGUUUCUCUGUGCAGAAAAUGUAUUCAGCCGAAAGGCGCGUUCAGUUUUUCCUCCAAGGGCCUGUUUGCUGAAAAAAAAUUCACCGAUAGGUCCCUGAACUUCAACCCUUCGUAUCUCGACAACUAUAACUCCGAUUGAGGCGAAUCCAAUGCUCACGUUCUCUGUUCAUCGAGCUCUUUCUGUUGGUUCCAUUUUCGUAAUAUUUUCACACAGUGAAAAUGACCACUUUGUGUUGCCCGUAAACAGCCCCCUCCCUGAGAGAACUGUUUCCGGCAAAUCUUUCCGCGAUUGUUUCAAACUUCUUCCCUAAGUAUUUGUCGCCCCCAGGCAAGCCAACCUCUUAUCAUGCACCCCGAACUUGCAUGUUGACUUUCCUUGCACCUCGUGUGUGUGAUUACCUGCAGUUGUUUCUUGCAUGUUCCAUCUGUUGUUAUUUCAUUCAUGAUAGAUGAUCUUGUUAUCUGUCUUGCAUGCUUAUGCUUUCAUGAAAUAAAUUGACAUGCUAGUUUGUUGUUCUUACUGAUGAUAUCAUGCUUCUGUCUAGUUUAGUUUCAUGUUAGUAGUAUCGAUGUUAUGAUAAUUCUGUUGCACUGAUAAGUUUGCUAGUACUUGGUAUUGCCAUGUUUCGCAUGCUAUCAUUGUUCUUUUGAAAUGCUUGAUGUUUUGUUACUGCAUCGGUAUGUUGCAUGUUAGUUUUUGCAUUCAUGUUAAUAAUGCUUGCAUGAUGAUUGAUGAUGGAGAAGUUAAUAAUAUGACAUAAUUACAAACCUCCUCCGUCAUCACUGGGAUAUCAUAGUGCCACCCAAGUCGAGCUUUCUCCAGUGCAACCACAUUUACCUUAUGGGAAGGUCCUAGCUGGGUCUAUUGCCAUGCCUCUCGCCGGUGCCUCCCGCGAUGGAAGGUUAUGGGCACGCGCUACCCUGAUCAGGUAGGCGGACAUAACAUUGUGUGCUUUUUUUGUUUUUAUGGUACCUUGUCCCCGUUUGGGACCGUUUUGCCACAACGGUGCCGUUCGUGUCUUUGGUAGACACGGGGCCACCCAGGACUGGACCCCAUGGAAGUGUUGGUCGAAGUGGUCGGGAGAGUGUCAUGGCAGUAGCUCGGUUUUGUCGGAAUGCUUGGUCCGCACGUAUGGGAGUGCGAGGCCAGGGUCCCGUGGUGUGGGUAAAGUGCGCUACCUCUGCAGAGUGUAUAUUUAAUCUAUCGAUAGCCGCGUCCUCGGUCAUGGGCAAAAGUUCGUAGUAGGUCACGCUAUCGGAUCUUGGUCGAAAUGGAGGAUAAAUCUGCUAAUAACUUGUGUGAUAAUUAAAAAGUGAUAAAUCAUGUGAUGACUUGGACUAUGGGAAAAUCGUGAGAAGUCACGAUGAUGUGUUGAUAUGACCCCGAGAUGAGGUCUUGGUAAGUCAUGCGUGUGCUCCGAGGAGCCGGGGCAGAGUAAGUGAUUGUUGCAUAAGGUUAUUACAACAUGUCUUCACGGGAGGUAACUGGUAGUUUAUUUCCAGCAUAGUUUCAUGAUGCCAUGCUUGUUUUGAUAUGCUAUGCUUUGCUGUUGUUAUGUUAGGAGUAAAUUUGAUAUGCCAUGCUAGUAGAUGCUAUGAUGUUGUUCAUGCUUAAUUGAUUUAUGAUUCUAGUUAAUAUCAUGCCAUGCUUAGAAGUUGUUUUGAAAUAGACUGUUGCAUAUGCUUGGUUCUUGCUUUGUCAUCUGUUUGUUUGGAUGCUAUGUAUUUGGUUGUCUUGCAAGUACAUUCAAUGUACUAACCUGGCGUGUCAUGCCAGUUUUGUAGGUCGUGCCCAAAUUGUUCGCUUGUUCCGUCAUGCUAGGCCGUAAUCUUGCCAGUCCUGUGAGUUGUGGAGCCCAGCCAGAGUCGAUGAGCUGCCAAACCAAGACUUCCGCCGCCAUUAAAAUAGACUUCCGCUGCCGUUUAAAUAGCCUUAUGGCUAUGCCAGAUAAUUGUAUUCAUCAAUGAUGUAAUCUUAUACACAUGUAUUUGAUGAAUAUUAUUGUACCUGGAAUGCUGUAUCAUGGACCUGUCGUGUGUCAGGCGUAAUCCUGGGCUGACGUGCGAAGGCCCCCUGUUCCUU
rnacentral:lncRNA from 1 species